rnacentral:rRNA from 1 species
UGCCAGCAGCCGCGGUUAUACCAAGAGAUUAAGUUAUAUUUACAAAGUAAAAAGAUAGUUAAGUUCAAAAUGAAUUAAGCUAAAAUGAUUACUUAUAUAAAGGUGAAAUUUACAUAUAAGUUAUUAACUCAAUUUUGGCUAUUAUGUUGAAGCUAUGAUAGUUUUGAGGGAAACUGGGAUUAGAUACCCCAUUAUUCUUAACUGUAAAUUUGAUAGAUUUUACUAGAGCAUUAUGAAUUUAAAAAAUCUAAAACUCAAAGGGCUUGGCGGUGUUUUAGACCUAUAAGGGGAACCUGUUUCAUAAUCGACAGUCCACGUUAGACCUAACCUUACUUGGUAUUUCAGUUCGUCGUCGUCAGGUAACUUUUAAAAACUUAGAAGUUAGCAAUAAGAAUCUUUAAAUUUAAACGUCAGAUCAAGGUGCAGCUAAUAGUGAGGAGAAAAUGGGUUACAAUUAGCAAGUUUCUAACUACGAAAAACUAUGUGAAAAUAUAAUUAGAAGGAGGACUUAAAAGUAAAAUAAGACAUAUAAAUAUAUUGAAUAUGGCUCUGGAACGUGUACAAACCGCCCGUCGCUC